UACGUAGGCAGCAAGCGUUGUUCGGAAUUACUGGGCGUAAAGAGUGUGUAGGCGGUGCUCUAAGUCUGUUGUGAAAUCUCCCGGCUUAACCGGGAGGGUGCGGCGGAAACUGGAGUGCUUGAGGGUGGGAGAGGUAAGCGGAAUUCCUGGUGUAGCGGUGAAAUGCGUAGAUAUCAGGAGGAACACCGGUGGCGAAGGCGGGUCUCUGGGCCGAUACUGACGCUGAGGAGCGAAAGCGUGGGGAGCGAACAGG
rnacentral:rRNA from 1 species